AGGAAUCUGCCCUGAAGUGGGGGGUAACUCGAGGAAACUCGAGCUAAUACCGCAUAAUAUCUGAGGAUUAAAGCUGACACGCAAGUGCUGGCGCUUCGGGAGGAGCCUGCGUCUGAUUAGCUAGUUGGUAGGGUAAAGGCCUACCAAGGCGACGAUCAGUAGGUGGUCUGAGAGGAUGAUCACCCACACUGGGACUGAGACACGGCCCAGACUCCUACGGGAGGCAGCAGUGGGGAAUAUUGGACAAUGGGGGGAACCCUGAUCCAGCAAUGCCGCGUGUGUGAAGAAGGCCUUAGGGUUGUAAAGCACUUUAGGCGGGGAAGAAGGUAUGUAGUUUAAGAGAUGACAUAUUUGACGGUACCCGCAGAAUAAGCACCGGCUAACUCUGUGCCAGCAGCCGCGGUAAUACAGAGGGUGCAAGCGUUAAUCGGAAUUACUGGGCGUAAAGGGCGCGUAGGUGGUUACGUAAGUGAGAUGUGAAAUCCCCGGGCUUAACCUGGGAACUGCAUCUUAUACUGCGUAGCUGGAGUACAUGAGAGGGUAGUGGAAUUUCCGGU
rnacentral:rRNA from 1 species